rnacentral:rRNA from 1 species
AUUGAACGCUGGCGGCAUGCCUUACACAUGCAAGUCGAACGGUAACGGGCCUUCGGGUGCCGACGAGUGGCGAACGGGUGAGUAAAGUAUCGGAACGUGCCUUAUAGUGGGGGAUAACGUAGCGAAAGUUACGCUAAUACCGCAUAUUGCCUGGGUGUAAAAGCCCGAGGUGAAAGGGGGGGAUCGUAAGACCUCUCGCUGUAAGAGCGGCCGAUAUCGGAUUAGCUAGUUGGUGGGGUAAAGGCCUACC